rnacentral:lncRNA from 1 species
GGGGGAUGCUGGGCACUCCUGGCUCAGGCAUAGCUCAAGAGCAUCCUUUGGCUGUUCGAGCUCAGUGGAUCAGGCUGUGCUGCACACAGGCUGAUGAGCUGCUAAUGGCAAAGUAUACCCAGCUGGGCUGAGUGCUGCCAGGGCAAGGUGACUGCUGCUGAAGCAAAAUGCUUCAUGGAAAUUGUUGUCAUUUUGCAGCAAGGAGGGCUGUGUGUGUCACCUACUGGCAAGGAAGAGGAAGGGUGACUGGAAGGUAAAGGUCUGUCUCUCCCUGGAUGGUGCAGCACUCCCAGUGCACACAGGUGGAAAUCGAUAUCAUCUCAGAAGGACAGUCCACAGCAUUGUUGAGACUGUUGAAGGAGAUGUUCCAGCUGCCACCAGGCCAUGGAGAUGUGCUUCUGUCCAGACAGGGGGCUGCAUCCACUCGAGGACUGCAAAUAGGUUACAUCCAACCCAGAGAACCUGUCGCAUUGAGAGAUGUGUUGUGUGAAGCAAACUUCCAGUGGUGCAGUGUGAUAUGAGAGGUGGGAUGCAGACUGGACAUGGCUGGGGGCUGUGGAGGAGCAAACUGGGACCAGAAGCCAAUGUAGUGGUGACUUGUCACGGUGAGUUUGUGCAGAUGGCUUUACUGCUGGCUGACUCAUUCCUGGGGAUGAAUGAGAAAUGAAGAGAGGAAACAAAAUCAAAACACUGCCAUGUGCAGCAAGAUUUAUGAUGGGACAUGCAGUAUGCCUAGUUC